GGGAAUGUAACUCAAUGGUAGAGUACUUCCCUAGCUUUGUUGAGCCCCUGGGUUCAGUCCCCAGCACUGCCA
rnacentral:tRNA from 1 species